CCUACGGGAGGCAGCAGUGAGGAAUAUUGGUCAAUGGACGAGAGUCUGAACCAGCCAAGUAGCGUGAAGGAUGACUGCCCUCUGGGUUGUAAACUUCUUUUAUAAAGGAAUAAAACGCGGCACGUGUGCCUUUUUCCAUGUACUUUAUGAAUAAGGAUCGGCUAACUCCGUGCCAGCAGCCGCGGUAAUACGGAGGAUCCGAGCGUUAUCCGGAUUUAUUGGGUUUAAAGGGAGCGUAGAUGGGUUGUUAAGUCAGUUGUGAAAGUUUGCGGCUCAACCGUAAAAUUGCAAUUGAUACUGGCAGUCUGGAGUACAGUUGAGGUAGGCGGAAUUCGUGGUGUAGCGGUGAAAUGCUUAGAUAUCACGAAGAACCCCGAUGGCGAAGGCAGCUUACUAAACUGUGACUGACAUUGAUGCUCGAAAGUGUGGGUAUCAAACAGGAUUAGAUACCCCUGUAGUC
rnacentral:rRNA from 1 species